UACGGAGGGAGCUAGCGUUGUUCGGAAUUACUGGGCGUAAAGCGCACGUAGGCGGCUUCGUAAGUUAGAGGUGAAAGCCCGGGGCUCAACCCCGGAAUUGCCUUUAAGACUGCAUCGCUUGAAUCCGGGAGAGGUGAGUGGAAUUCCGAGUGUAGAGGUGAAAUUCGUAGAUAUUCGGAAGAACACCAGUGGCGAAGGCGGCUCACUGGACCGGUAUUGACGCUGAGGUGCGAAAGCGUGGGGAGCAAACAGG
rnacentral:rRNA from 1 species